GGAUGAGUUGUGUGAAAGUCCUUGGUAAGCUGUGGAUCAAGUAUAUCCUGCCUGGGAAUCCAGCACUGUUCCUCAGGUCCGUAACCCUCCCACUCGACCAAAUACUCCAGCUUGCCCCUCCUGUGUCUCGAGUUGAGGAUGUUCCUGACGCGGUAAGCCGGUUGUCCAUCAAUUUCCAGAGGGGUCGGGGGAGUUUCAGCUGGUACUUCGGUGGCUAGAGGACCAUUGACAACAGGUUUCAGACGUGAUACGUGGAAUGAAGGGGAGAUGCGACUGUGUCGUGGCAGUUCCAGACGGUAGGUGACAUCAUUGACUCGCUUGAGGAUCUUGAAUGGUCCCGUGUACCUCGGUGCUAGUUUUUUACAGCCAUGCACUUGUCUCAAAUCUUUUGUGGACAACCACACCCGAUCGCCGGGUUGGUAAUCAGGGUGUUCCUUGCGGCGUCGAUCUGCUUUGUGUUUGUACAUGUCUGAGGUCUCCCUCAGGCGUCGGUGGGUGUCCGCCCAGACACGCUCACUACGUUUGAACCAGUGGUCAACGGCCGGAGCUGCGGUGGGAGUUGCGUUCCACAGGAACAGUGGGGGUUGGUAACCGAGCACGCACUGGAAGGGGGUGAGAUUGGUAGCCGAAUGACGUAGUGAGUUCUGCGCAUACUCGGCCCAUGGCAAGAACUUGCUCCAAUCCUCUGGGUUAUUGGCACAAAACAUACAGAGAAAUCGCCCCAGUUCCUGAUUGACUCAUUCGGCUUGCCCAUUGGCUUGUGGGUGAUAACCCGAGGUGAGAUUCACUGUCACUCCCAUCUUCAUCAUGAAGCUGGACCACACUCUGGAGGUAAACUGUGGGCCCCUCACUGACAAUCUCCUCAGGAAUGCCGUAAUACCUGAACACAUGCUGGAAUAGAAGUUCGGCUGUCCUGAAUGCAGUGGGGAGAGCAGGUAAGGGAAUGAAACGUACGGACUUGGAGAACCGGUCCACUGCGACUAGAAUUGUGGUAUCUCCUUGGGAUCUAGGCAGGUCUGUUACAAAAUCUACAGAUAUGUGUGACCAUGGGCAUUCAGGGAUAGGUAAGGGCUUGAGCCUCCCAGCGGGGAGGGUCCGAGGUACUUUAUUCUGUGCGCACGAUGAACAGGACUUCACCACCUUGUGUAUGUCUCCUAUCAUAUUGGGCCACCAGUAUUUCUCUUCCUGGAGAUGGUGUGUGCGUUGUGUACCUGGAUGUCCCGUACCGAGUACCGUGUGUGCCCAGAUGAUGAGUUCUUGGCGGUACUCUUCGGGUACGAAGAGUUUUUUAGGAGGACGCUUUACAGGUACUUGGGACUGGGGAAUCUGUUCUAGUUCCGCGUCCAGCUCCCACUCUAGCGCACUGAUAACACAUGAAGGACGAAUGAUGUACUCCUCCUGCUCGUUGACCUGUUCCGUCUGAUGGAGACGAGACAGAGCAUCCGCUUUUGUGUUCUUGGACCCGGGUCUGUAGGAUAACGUGAAUUGAAAUCUAGUGAAGAAUAGGGCCCAUUGGGCCUGGCGGGGUGUGAGUCGCUUUGCAGUGCGAAGGUACUCCAGGUUCUUAUGGUCCGUGAAGAUGACAAAUGGAUGUGUAGCCCCCUCUAACCAGUGUCUCCACUCCUCCAGCGCUAAUUUAACUGCGGAGAGUUCCCGAUUUCCCACAUCGUAGUUUCUCUCAGCUGGGGAAAGCUUUCGCGAGAAGAAGGCCCCCGGGUGAAGUUUUGGCUUCUCUCCAAAUUGUUGGGACAGAAUGGCUCCUACCCCGGUCUCUGAUGCAUCCACCUCCACUAUAAAUGGUCUGGAUGGGUCUGGAUGUUUGAUGAGGGGUGCAGUAGUGAAGGCUUUCUUGAGCUUGUCGAAGGCGGAUUGGGCAGUUGAAUUCCAUGCCAGACGUUUGGGUUUCCCCUUUAGCAGGGAUGUGAGGGGGUUGGCGACGGCACUGAAAUUCCUGAUAAAUAUCCUGUAGAAGUUCGCAAACCCCAGAAACCUCUGUAGUUCCUUGAUCGUCGUGGGUGUGGGCCAGCUUACUAUUGCCUGGACCUUUUCUUGGUCCAUGGAGAUCCCCUCGGGGCUGAUGACGUAUCCCAGAAACGUGAUGGUGGUUCGCUCGCCUUCUUCCUACUGAAUACCUCUAUGAGGUCGUGGUAAACACUGGGGAUCUGAACGUUAUCUGCCUUAUCUGGGCUUUCAAUGGAGGUAGAUGCUAUGGAGAUCACAGGGACCUGAAGACAGUGAUUAAUACAGUGAGCUGGCCAGCGCGUGAUUUCCCUUUGGUUCCAUGAAAUUCGGGGAUUGUGAUGUUCGAGCCCAGGGAGACCGAGAACCACUGGGUGCCGAGCCAUCACUAUGACAUGGAACGUGAUCUUCUCCUGAUGAAGGGCACUGGUUCGGAGGUUAACAGGUUCGGUGCAGUGGGUGAUUAAGCCAUCUCCUAUGGGUUCCCCAUCAAUGGCUUGGACACGGCGAGGGGUGCAGAGAGGACGAACGGGUAUGUUAUAUUGGCGUACAGUCUCUUGGUUAAUGAAAUUCCCCGCCGCUCCCGAGUCGAUCAGUGCUUCUAAAACACAGGAAACACUUGAGUAACCCACUAUAACGGGCAAUACGAAGGCAGACUGAACAGAGUGCUGGGUAAUGGGUUCGAAACUCACCCCUGCCUGAGAUGGUCUGGCAGCUUUGGCUUCCCCUCGGGUAGAGCCCUGUUUGAGAGGGCAUUGUUGCACAAAGUGGCCCUUCUCACCGCAGUAGAAACAGCAGUGUUCACGGCGCUGUCAUUCUCUUUCCUGCAUGCUCACCCGAGUCUGUCCCAGCUGCGUGGGUUCGCUAGAGUGCUCAGGUGUCAGUGCUUCCGCCUCACCACAUCCGGGGCGGCGGCUACGUAGUAGAUGAUCCAGGCGGAUAGCUACGUUGAUGAGUGAGUCGAGGGUCAAAAGAUCAUCGCGGCACGCCAGCUCCGUUAAGAUGUCAGCAUAUAAUCCCCGGCGAAACAUGGCUUUUAGAGCGGGGUCAUUCCAUCCGCUCCGGGCGGCGACCAUGCGAAAUUCGAGGGCGUAAUCCGCCACACUGCACUGAUCCCUGGGCCAUGGACAAUAAGUCCUCCCCAGUCUCCUGGCUGUCUGUAGAGUGAUCAAAUACCGUGCGGAAGCGUGAUGUCAGCUGCUCAAACGUGCUGAUACGGUUCCCUUCCUGUUCCCAUUCCGCAGUAGCCCAGAGGAGAGCUUUCCUGGUUAAAAGUUCCAUGAAGUGAAUGAUCUUCUGACUCUCCGUCAUGUCUGGGUACGUGUAGAAAAACAGGGAGCACUGGAGUAAAAAACCCCGGCAGCGUGCGGGAUCUCCAUCAUACUUCUCCGGCGCUGGAGUGGGAGGUAAGCGUGGGGUCGGCACCGUAGGAGGCUGCGCAGCUUGAUUUAACCGAGCUACCUGCUCAGUUAGGUGGGUGAGAUGGUGAUCAUGUUCGCUAAGCAUCCGGCCAUGUCCCUCGAUGGCGUUCGGCCAACGAUCUCCCGCUGCCUCCAUUAAUAGGCAAAGCAUUCUGACACCAACCUCGAGGCGGUACGGAAGUAGGAGCGGGAGGCGGGUGAACAGCGUAGGAUCGGGAAGUUCAAGAAGCGUAGUCGUAGAAUAGGCAAGGGGCAAGCGAUUGGGUGAACAAUACAAAUGGGGAUAUCCAGAAAGCGUAGUCGAGACAGAAAGCAAGGGUCGAGGAUCACAAGAAACAACGAACUAGAUCGGCUUGGUAACGCUGCAAACUAGACUACUGAGCGUAUACUUCGUGCCGAUUCUAGGUGGAUGUCUUCUCUAAGUACUAGUGUGUGAUUGGUGCCAGGUGUGUCUGAUCAGAACUCCGGGGAUGGGGAGUGCAUGCGUGCCUGAUUAGUGAGUAUUGCAUCCUGGGAAUUUAAGUUCUGAUCAGACCGAGCUGUGACAGUUUUGAGUUUUGCCAAAACUUACUGCUUAUUAGAGAUGCCAAGCAAAGGUGCUUCAAAGUAUUGCGCAAAGGCUGUGAAUACUUAUAAACAUGUGCUUUUUUUUGUUUUUUUUAUUUUUCAGAAAUUUCAUACUCAUUAAAAGAUUUCAAACAAACUUCUUUCAUGUUGUCAUUAUGGUGUAUUGUUUGUAGAAUUUUGAGGAAAGUAAUGAAUUUAACCCAUGUGGGAAUACGGCUGUAACAUAACAAUGGGGAAAAAGUGAAGUGCUGCGAAUACUUUCCGGAUGCACUGUAUAUAGUAUAUUUUAUGUAGUGAAACUGAUCUUGUUCUCUCCCUGUCCCCUACCUAUCUGUAGGUGCUGGGGAAUGGGAAGUGCUGUGUGCAUGUGUGUCUGCCUCCUAAUCUGUUCCAGCUCUAUUAUAAUCACCAGGAUCUGGAUCCCCUGCUUCAGGGGUGGUGCUCACAUCCAGGCAUGCAACAAUGUCUCCAGUCACCUGAAACCCUUAUAAGCUAAUCGAUGUGCCAGAGGAUUACUGUGCACUGAUCAACUAGGCUUUCAGCUUCAUCUGUCCUAGGUCAGAUGGAGUUAAGCCUUGAGCUCAAACUCUGUGCUUGGUGUGUGGCACAAUGCUGUGUUCUCAGAGCAGCUGCUGCCAGACUGAGCUGGAGGGUGAGGACGUUGGAGCAUGUACUGCACACACAUUUGUUUGCUGAGCUGGUGUUAGCAUUUUCCUCAGGGUGAGGGAGAAUCAGGUUCUUUUCCUGUACCUCGAUGACUAUGGAGAACUGUCCAAGGGCUCAGAUGGAGGAAUGCGCUACAGAAAGAUUCAGAAGCUCUGGCGCCAGCACAGCAUCACCGAGGAGAUGGGUCAUGCACAGGAAGCUAAUCAGACUCUGGAGGACAUUGACUGGGAGAUCCUGGAUUUUCUUGGCUAAUGCCAAAUCUAAACUAACCAGGGAUCUGCACAUUUACCUAGAAAUGCCUACAGCCAAAAUCCCCAGUACUGACUGAACACAUCAAAUGCUGAGUUUACUUUUACAGUCUUGAAUUAACACCUCUGCUAACUGCGUCAUCACCUACAGUCCUGAAUUGACAGUUUACUUAACAGCCAUAAUGCUCACUGUUUACAAUGCGAAUUAAAGAUUAUGUAAACCCUGGAAUUGUGAAUUAAGCACACCUUUUGGUUAAAAGAGGGGGGAAAAGAAUUGGUUUAUCACUCGUUGGUUUUGUAAAUAAGGCUUGGUGAAAAUUAGGUGUAAGCUCUGUUUGUGCCACAGGCUAUAUACCCUUCCUCUAGUUUGUUUUCAAUGGAUGUGUACUGUUUUACAAUCUAAGGGCUUUGUUUGCAUCUAUAAUGAUUACACGGAUAAGACAUGUUUACUGUUUGUCACUUUCCUUUUUCUCUCUCUCCUUUUUGGAUAUACCAGUUAAAUAUGUCACAGUUUAGUCAACUGUAACUCUUUUGUUCCUGGUUGUUUGGAAUCAGUUAAUAAACUGUUUUUAAUAUUG